rnacentral:rRNA from 1 species
CGGCGGACGGGUGAGUAACGCGUGGGUAACCUGCCUCAUACAGGGGGAUAACAGUUAGAAACGACUGCUAAUACCGCAUAAGCCCACGGGUCGGCAUCGACCUGAGGGAAAAGGAGCAAUCCGCUUUGAGAUGGCCUCGCGUCCGAUUAGCUAGUUGGUGAGGUAAUGGCCCACCAAGGCGACGAUCGGUAGCCGGACUGAGAGGUUGAACGGCCACAUUGGGACUGAGACACGGCCCAG